ACGAACGCUGGCGGCGUGCCUAACACAUGCAAGUCGAGCGGAGACAGUGAGUAGCUUGCUAUGAGCUGUUUUAGCGGCGGACGGGUGAGUAACGCGUGAGCAACCUUUCCCAGACAGGGGAAUAACACACCGAAAGGUGUACUAAUACCGCAUAAGACCACGGAAUCACAUGGUUCUGAGGUAAAAGAUUUAUCGGUUUGGGGUGGGCUCGCGUCCGAUUAGGUAGUUGGUGAGGUAACGGCCCACCAAGCCGACGAUCGGUAGCCGACCUGAGAGGGUGAUCGGCCACAUUGGGACUGAGACACGGCCCAAACUCCUACGGGAGGCAGCAGUGGGGAAUAUUGGGCAAUGGGGGGAACCCUGACCCAGCAACGCCGCGUGGAGGAAGAAGGUUUUCGGAUCGUAAACUCCUGUCCUUGGAGACGAGUAGAAGACGGUAUCCAAGGAGGAAGCCCCGGCUAACUACGUGCCAGCAGCCGCGGUAAUACGUAGGGGGCAAGCGUUGUCCGGAAUAAUUGGGCGUAAAGGGCGCGUAGGCGGCUCGGUAAGUCUGGAGUGAAAGUCCUGCUUUUAAGGUGGGAAUUGCUUUGGAUACUGUCGGGCUUGAGUGCAGGAGAGGUUAGUGGAAUUCCCAGUGUAGCGGUGAAAUGCGUAGAGAUUGGGAGGAACACCAGUGGCGAAGGCGACUAACUGGACUGUAACUUACGCUGAGGCGCGAAAGUGUGGGGAGCAAACAGGAUUAGAUACCCUGGUAGUCCACACGGUAAACGAUGAAUACUCGCUGUUUGCGAUAUACAGCAAGCGGCCAAGCGAAAGCGUUAAGUAUUCCACCUGGGGAGUACGCCGGCAACGGUGAAACUCAAAGGAAUUGACGGGGGCCCGCACAAGCAGCGGAGCAUGUGGUUUAAUUCGACGCAACGCGAAGAACCUUACCAGGUCUUGACAUCCACUUAAACUUACAGAGAUGUAAGGUGUGCUUGCACAAAGUGAGACAGGUGGUGCAUGGUUGUCGUCAGCUCGUGUCGUGAGAUGUUGGGUUAAGUCCCGCAACGAGCGCAACCCUUAUCUUCAGUUACUAACGCGUGAAGGUGAGGACUCUGAAGAGACUGCCGGGGACAACUCGGAGGAAGGUGGGGACGACGUCAAAUCAUCAUGCCCCUUAUGACCUGGGCUACACACGUGCUACAAUGGCCACGACAGAGAGAAGCGAAAUCGUAAGGUAGAGCGGAACUCAAAAAAGUGGUCCCAGUUCGGAUUGUGGGCUGCAACCCGCCCACAUGAAGUCGGAGUUGCUAGUAAUCGCGGAUCAGCAUGCCGCGGUGAAUACGUUCCCGGGCCUUGUACACACCGCCCGUCACACCAUGGGAGUUGGGAGUGCCCAAAGCCGGUGAGGCAACCGCAAGGAGCCAGCCGUCUAAGGCAAGACCAAUGACUGGGGUG
rnacentral:rRNA from 1 species